UACGUAGGGUGCAAGCGUUAUCCGGAAUUAUUGGGCGUAAAGAGCUCGUAGGUGGUUUGUCGCGUUGUUCGUGAAAACUCACAGCUUAACUGUGGGCGUGCGGGCGAUACGGGCAGACUUGAGUACUGCAGGGGAGACUGGAAUUCCUGGUGUAGCGGUGGAAUGCGCAGAUAUCAGGAGGAACACCGGUGGCGAAGGCGGGUCUCUGGGCAGUAACUGACGCUGAGGAGCGAAAGCGUGGGGAGCGAACAGG
rnacentral:rRNA from 1 species